rnacentral:rRNA from 1 species
GACAGAGGGUGCAAACGUUGUUCGGAAUUACUGGUCGUAAAGCGAGUGUAGGCGGUUUGGAUAGUCGGAUGUGAAAGCCCCGGGCUCAACCCGGGAAGUGCAUUCGAUACUCCCAAGCUAGAGUAUCGGAGAGGUUGGUGGAAUUCUCGGUGUAGAGGUGAAAUUCGUAGAUAUCGAGAGGAACACCGGUGGCGAAGGCGGCCAACUGGACGAAUACUGACGCUGAGACUCGAAAGCGUGGGGAGCAAACAGG